GUCGCCAACAUCAACCGCCGGUAAGAUCCGUCCGGGCUCCUACGGGAGCCGGACUCCGCACCUGACUUUAAUUGCAGGAGGACUCCGCCCGGACUCCUACGGGAACCGGGCUCCGAUCGCAACAUCAACUCCAGGAGGACUCCGAUCGGACUCCUAGGGAGCCGGGCUCUGCCCACGACUCCAACCUCAAGGGGGACUCCGCCCGGACUCCUACGGGAGUCGGGCUUCGUCGCCAACGUCAACCGUCGGUAAGAUCCGUCCAGGCUCCUACGGGAGCCGGACUUCGCACCUGACUUUAAUUGCAGGAGGACUCCGCCCGGACUCCUACGGGAACCGGGCUCCGACCGCAACAUCAACCCCAGGAGGGCUCCGCCCGAACUCCUACGGGAGCCGGACUCCGUCGUCGGCUCCGACCGGUGCCGAACUUCGACCGACGGAUCCGCA
rnacentral:lncRNA from 1 species